rnacentral:rRNA from 1 species
GACGAACGCUGGCGGCGUGCUUAACACAUGCAAGUCGAACGAAGUCGCGAACGGGUGAGUAACGCGUAAUCAACCUGCCCUUCAGGGGGGGACAACUGUUGGAAACGACUGCUAAUACCGCAUACUGCAGUAGGUUCUUGCGUUUGAGUAGCGAGUUGGAGGGGUAACGGCCCACCAAGGCGAGGAUCAGUAGCCGGUCUGAGAGGAUGAACGGCCACAUGGGGACUGAGACACGGCCCAGACUCCUACGGGAGGCAGCAGUAGGGAAUCUUCCGCAAUGGACGAAAGUCUGACGGAGCAACGCCGCGUGAGUGAUGACGGCCUUCGGGUUGUAAAGCUCUGUUAAUCGGGACGCGGUACCGGAAUAGAAAGCCACGGCUAACUACGUGCCAGCAGCCGCGGUAAUAC